AGCUCCAAUAGCGUAUAUUUAAGUUGUUGCAGUUAAAAAGCUCGUAGUUGGAUCUUGGGUCGUAAAGGUCGGUCCGCCUACUCGGUGUGCACCUGCCCUUCCGUCCCUCUUGUCGGCGGCGUGCUCCUGGCCUUAAUUGGCUGGGUCGCGGCUCCGGCGCUGUUACUUUGAAAAAAUUAGAGUGCUCAAAGCAAGCUUAUGCUCUGAAUACAUUAGCAUGGAAUAACGCGAUAGGAGUCUGGUCCUAUUGUGUUGGCCUUCGGGACCGGAGUAAUGAUUAAUAGGGACUGUCGGGGGCAUUCGUAUUUCAUUGUCAGAGGUGAAAUUCUUGGAUUUAUGAAAGACGGACCACUGCGAAAGCAUUUGCCAAGGAUGUUUUCAUUAAUCAAGAACGAAAGUA
rnacentral:rRNA from 1 species